AGUCAAAUUAAUAAAUAAAAUAAUUUUACUUUUAAAUCCAACUUCAUAUUUACAUUAAAAUAAAUAAUUCGUCUAAAUAAAUUUAUUGUAACCCAUCUCUACUUGCUUAUAAAUUGCACCUUGACCUGACAUUUCAUAAUUUGUAUAUUAAGAAUAUUUAUCCCUAAAAAGAUAUUCUGAUGACGGAGGUAUACAAAAUGAGAACAAAAACAAGUAAUUUUUAUCGUGGACUAUCAAUUACAGGACAGGUUCCUCUAAAAAGAAUAAAAUACCGCCAAAUUCUUUGGGUUUCAAGAACAUAACUACUAAUACCCUGACUUAUAAU
rnacentral:rRNA from 1 species